UAGGGAAUCUUCGGCAAUGGACGAAAGUCUGACCGAGCAACGCCGCGUGAGUGAAGAAGGUUUUCGGAUCGUAAAACUCUGUUGUUAGAGAAGAACAAGGACGUUAGUAACUGAACGUCCCCUGACGGUAUCUAACCAGAAAGCCACGGCUAACUACGUGCCAGCAGCCGCGGUAAUACGUAGGUGGCAAGCGUUGUCCGGAUUUAUUGGGCGUAAAGCGAGCGCAGGCGGUUUCUUAAGUCUGAUGUGAAAGCCCCCGGCUCAACCGGGGAGGGUCAUUGGAAACUGGGAGACUUGAGUGCAGAAGAGGAGAGUGGAAUUCCAUGUGUAGCGGUGAAAUGCGUAGAUAUAUGGAGGAACACCAGUGGCGAAGACGGCUCACUGGUCUGUAACUGACGCUGAGGCUCGAAAGCGUGGGGAGCAAACAGG
rnacentral:rRNA from 1 species